CCUACGGGUGGCAGCAGUGAGGAAUAUUGGUCAAUGGGCGGAAGCCUGAACCAGCCAAGUAGCGUGCAGGAUGACGGCCCUAUGGGUUGUAAACUGCUUUUAUACGGGAAUAACGUGCAUUACGUGUAGGGCUUUGCAUGUACCGUAUGAAUAAGGACCGGCUAAAUCCGUGCCAGCAGCCGCGGUAAUACGGAAGGUCCGGGCGUUAUCCGGAUUUUUUGGGUUUAAAGGGAGCGUAGGCCGGAUGUUAAGCGUGGUGUGAAAUGUUCGGGCUCAACCCGGGCCUUGCAGUUUAUACUGGCGUGCUUGAGUACACGAGAGGCAGGCGGAAUUCGUGGUGUAGCGGUGAAAUGCUUAGAUAUGACGAAGAACCCCGAUUGCGAAGGCAGCAUGCUGGAGCGGAACUGACGCUGAUGCUCGAAAGCGCGGGUAUCGAACAGGAUUAGAUACCCGAGUAGUC
rnacentral:rRNA from 1 species